rnacentral:rRNA from 1 species
AAUGAGCGCUGGCGGCGCGCCUAAUACAUGCAAGUCGAGCGAGAAGACGUAGCAAUACGUUUGUAAAGCGGCGAACGGGUGAGGAAUACAUGGGUAACCUACCCUCGAGUGGGGAAUAACUAGCCGAAAGGUUAGCUAAUACCGCGUACGCUCCUUGGACUUCGGUUCAGGGAGGAAAGCGAUACCGUGGGUAUCGCGCUCUUGGUUGGGCUCAUGUCCUAUCAGCUUGNGGUGAGGUAACGGCUCACCAAGGCUUCGACGGGUAGCUGGUCUGAGAGGACGAUCAGCCACACUGGCACUGCGACACGGGCCAGACUCCUACGGGAGGCAGCAGUAAGGAAUAUUGCGCAAUGGGCGAAAGCCUGACGCAGCGACGCCGCGUGGGGGAUGAAGGUCUUCGGAUUGUAAACCCCUUUCGGGAGGGAAGAUGGAACGAGCAAUCGUUCGGACGGUACCUCCAGAAGCAGCCACGGCUAACUUCGUGCCAGCAGCCGCCGUAA